GCUUAUCACUAUUCCAGAUUGAAUAUACCCGAUCUCGUUUGAUCUCGGAAGUCAAGCAAACUCUGGCUUGGUUAGUACUUGGAUGGGUGAGAAUUUGGGAAUACCAAGUGUGAUAAGCA
rfam:Ciona savignyi cont_51440, whole genome shotgun sequence.